rnacentral:rRNA from 1 species
AUCGAACGCUGGCGGCAGGCCUAACACAUGCAAGUCGAACGUGUGGCGGACGGGUGAGUAAUGUCUGGGAAACUGCCCGAUGGAGGGGGAUAACUAUUGGAAACGGUAGUUAAUACCGCAUACCAUCGGAUGUGCCCAGAUGGGAUUAGCUAGUAGGUGGGGUAACGGGUCACCUAGGCGACGAUCCCGAGCUGGUCUGAGAGGAUGACCAGCCACACGGGAACUGAGACACGGUCCGGAGUCCUACGGGAGUCAGCGGUGGGGAAUAUUGCGCAAUGGGCGAAAGCCUGAUGCAGCCAUGCCGCGUGUAUGAAGAAGGCCUUCGGGUUGUAAAGUACUGUCAGCGAGGAGGCGUUACUCGCAGAAGAAGCACCGGCUAACUCCGUGCCAGCAGCCGCGGUAAUUC